rnacentral:lncRNA from 1 species
UUUUUUUUCUUUUUUUUUUUUGACUCCUGGCAUUAAGAAGAAAACUUCAUCAAAACGCUUGCUGACCACUAAGCUAAUGGAACACAGACUUCAUGGCCACACGUAGCAAAGAAAUCAGACUUUAACAAGUAGUUUAGAAAAGUCACUAAACAAACAACAAUCCACAAGCAGAAACAAAAGUCCUGCAAUAGAGAAGAAUCCGAGUUCCAGAGUUCCAACUUUUAAUACUCAAAAUAUCCAGCUUUCUACAAGAAAAUUAUGAAAAAAUUAUGAAACAUGCAAAGAAACAAGAAAGCAUGGCCCAUACAUACACAAGAAUAAAGAAAUGAAUGAAACUGCUCCUGAGGAAGCCCAGGUAGUGGAAUUACUAGCGAAAGAUUUUAAAUAAACUGUCUUAAGAGAAUACUAAGAACAGGCUGGGUGUGGUGGCUCAUACCUGUAAUCCCAGCACUUUGGGAGGCCAAGGCAGGCAGAUCGCUUGAGGUCAGGAGUUCCAGACCAGCCUGGCCAACAUGGUGAAACUCCAUCUCUACUAAAAAUACAAAAGCUAGCUGGGUGUUGUGGCACGUGCCUGUAAUCCCAGCCUCUUGAGAGGCUGAGGCGGGAGGAUCACUGGAGCCUGAAAGGCAGAGGAUACAGUGAGCCGAAAUGGUGCCACUGCACUCCAGCCUGGGUGACAGAGUGGGACCCUGUCUCAAAAAAGAGAGAGAGAAAUUUAGAAAGCCCAUCCAAACUGAAAAGGAAGAAGUAAAAUUAUUCACAGAUGACUUGAUCUUAUAUAAGGAAACUUCUAAAGAAUCCACAAACACAAUUCGAACUAAUAAACAAACAAAGUUACAAGUUGUAACCUGUUGUGCUGUGUAAGAUCAGCACAAAAAUUCAGUUGUGUUUCUGUGAACUAGAAGCAAUGUAAAAGUGAAAUUAAGGAAACAAUUUCAUUUCCAAUAGCAUGAAAAAUAAUAAAUACCUAGGAAUAAAUUAAACCAAGGAAGGGCAAGACUUGUACAAUGAAAAUUAUAAAAUGUUGUUGAAAGAAAUUAAAGAAGACCUAAAUAAAUUGAAAAAUAUCCCAUGUUUAUGAAUUGGAAGAUUUAAUAUUAAGAUGACAAUACUACUCAAAGUGA